rnacentral:rRNA from 1 species
UAAUUCUUAUAUUGGUUUUUUCUGUGUGAAUUGCAGAAUUUCGUGAACCAUUGAGUCUUUGAACGCAAGUUGUGCCCGAGGCCUUGUGGUCGAGGGCACGCCUGCUUGGGUGUCAUGAGAUCGUCGCUUUUGCUCCAUGCUUCGUCGGCAUUGAGCGCGGAAGUUGGCCCCGUGUGCCCUCGGGCACAGUCGGUCGAAGAGUGGGUAGUCGGUAAUCGUCGAGCACGAUGGACGUUGGUCGUCGCGAGCGAGAACUGAACGUUGUGUCCUCGUCGUUUUGGGAUGAGUCCUCCAGAGACCCUGUGUGAUGAUUGAGGAGUCGCGUGAAAGCCGCCGCGUCAAUCAUUUGCGGCCCCAAGUCAGGCGAGACCACCCGCCGAGUUUAAGCAUAUAAAUAAGCGGAGGAGGAGAAACUUACGAGGAUUCCCCUAGUAACGGCGAGUGAACCGGGUAUCAGCCCAGCUGAGAAUGGUCGCGAGCCC